rnacentral:rRNA from 1 species
GACGAACGCUGGCGGCGUGCCUAAUACAUGCAAGUAGAACGCACAGUUUAUACCGUAGCUUGCUACACCAUAGACUGUGAGUUGCGAACGGGUGAGUAACGCGUAGGUAACCUGCCUGGUAGCGGGGGAUAACUAUUGGAAACGAUAGCUAAUACCGCAUAAUAUUAAUUAUUGCAUGAUAAUUAAUUGAAAGGUGCAAUUGCACCACUACCAGAUGGCCCUGCGUUGUAUUAGCUAGUAGGUGAGGUAACGGCUCACCUAGGCGACGAUACAUAGCCGACCUGAGAGGGUGAUCGGCCACACUGGGACUGAGACACGGCCCAGACUCCUACGGGAGGCAGCAGUAGGGAAUCUUCGGCAAUGGACGAAAGUCUGACCGAGCAACGCCGCGGGAGUGAAGAAGGUUUUCGGAUCGUAAAGCUCGGUUGUAAGAGAAGAACGGGUGUGAGAGUGGAAAGUUCACACUGUGACGGUAUCUUACCAGAAAGGGACGGCUAACUACGUG